rnacentral:rRNA from 1 species
AUGAACGUGCAGUUGAACGGCGUCGAACACCAUCGGUUCGACACGCUCGUUUUGCUGCAAGACUCGGUGGCGGCCAAGUUGGCCGCGAGAAAGUGGUUGGAUGGCAACGAGGCCGUUGCCAUCCACCUCAACUACCAGCACUUCGUCGACAUUGGGUUCGAGGACGCCCUGAUCAACGAAGACAUGGCUUUCAGACUCAUUCCGGAAGCGGCGUAUGUUCAGAUGAGGACAAAUGCUGCAGCUCUGGACGACUGUUGGCCGAACUACAAGUCCCCGAACCUGCGAGACGGACAGAAUCCCAGGACGCGUGAGUGGGUGAUGGGUAACAUGAAGGCGCACGGGCGGCGGAUCGUCGACAGGGAUAGGGCCCUCCUGUUGAGGUUCGAGAUAAAGGGGGAUCUUCGUUGCCGACGCCGCAUCAUCUUCAAGCCCGAGGUGCGCGAGGCGCUCGGUGCCGAGCCUCUGGUGCUAUUGCAGUACAAGAGCCCAUGUGCCCUCGGGUGUACCGCCUUGAGCUAUUGCUGGUGGUGGAGGCGAUCGAGGCUGCGGAGGCGGCAGCGGCGGCGGCAGCAGCGGCGGCGGCCGCGGGGGCGGGAGGCGGUGGCGAGCCGGGAGAGGGAGCCCCGGCAGGCGGCGACGCGGCGGAGCCAGCGGCGGGGGCUGGUGGCGACGCGGCCGAGGGAGCCGCAGCUGGCGUCGAUGGGGUGCAGUGAUCGCUCUGCCGAGGAGUAG